UACGGAGGGUGCAAGCGUUAAUCGGAAUUACUGGGCGUAAAGCGCACGCAGGCGGUUGGAUAAGUUAGAUGUGAAAGCCCCGGGCUCAACCUGGGAAUUGCAUUUAAAACUGUCCAGCUAGAGUCUUGUAGAGGGGGGUAGAAUUGCCAGGUGUAGCGGUGAAAUGCGUAGAGAUCUGGAGGAAUACCGGUGGCGAAGGCGGCCCCCUGGACAAGACUGACAGCUCAGGUGCGAAAGCGUGG
rnacentral:rRNA from 1 species